rnacentral:lncRNA from 1 species
GGUCAAUUGACCCCUAAGGAGUUAUUGUCCUUUAUAGUCAAUUUUUAACAAUUUUCAUAAAAUUUGUAAAUUUUUAUUAACAUUUUCCACUAAAACUACUGGGCCAAGUUCAUUAUAGCUAGAGAUAAUUGUAAGCAGCAAGACUGUUUAGUAAAGUAAGAUGUACAAACACAUCAACAAAACACAAUUUUGUCAUGAAUCCAUCUGCUUCCUUUGUUUAAUAUUCACAUAGACCAAGGUGAGCGACACAGGCUCUUUAGAGCCUCUAGUUUUACUUGUUAUAAUAUCUAUAUAAUUAAAAAUAUAUAUUGAAUAAAUGUAUGAUAAACUGAGAGUAGGAUGAAAGAUAAAAAAAUAACAUUUCAUGUAUUGAUAUCCAAUGUCACUGUAAUCUAUAUUAAUAUAUCACCAUAUACUUUUUUUUAAUACUGGUAAAGAUUGCAUUCAUGCAAUCAAAACCCUUAUGGGACUGGCUUGAUGCAGUAUGCAGUUAAAUUGUAAUUCAUUACCUCAAAGGAACAUAUUAAAGUAUUUAUCAAAUAAAAACAAACAGUUGUUUUAUAGAAAUAGCUGGCCAGCAUGAGCAGUUUACUUGAUUAUUUUUUUUUAAACAAAAGUGAAAGAAUUAGGGUCCUGAUGUUUACAUAAGCAAAAACACAUGUAUGCUCAUCUUUGACAAAUACAUUUAUAUUUUCCAGGCAUUGUCUCUACUUUUUAGAGCACAAAAACAUAGUGCAUUUAGUGAAUAUUCUUUACAUUUAUCUGUGUAUGUGCUCAGCAAUUUAUCAAUAAAAUAUGAAAUAUAUACUGAAAUAUUCAAGGGAACAAGAAUGUGUAUAUAUAUAUAUAUGUGUAUGACAUAUCUUAUCAAAAACUAUUUUAUUGAAAUUACAUUAGAUGUGAAAUUAUAAUUAUGCAGAGGUGAAUUUAGACAGGCUUAGAAAAUUAGUUAAGGGAAACACUGAAGCAUGACUGAACCCGGCACCAUCUUUAUCAGUCAGUGGGCAUAUCUUAUGAAAAUUUCUGGAUCCGCCACUGUUAUGGAUAAAGAAAGAUAAAAAUUCCUCAAUUGCUAAAUGCAAUGCAAAGUUUAAUCUAUAGUAUAAUUCACACUGCAAAACGAAUGCAAUAUUUACCUUCAGUGUUCACUUAACACUUUAAUUGUAAAUGUGUCAGUGCUAAUACAAAUUGUGUAUUUAUUUAACUUUUUCUGUAGUAUUUACCAGAUAAUAUAGAAAUAGAAAUUGUAGACUUGUUUCAUACGGCAUUUCUUAAAUAAUUUCUAUUUUGAUAGAUAUUUGAUGCAAAUUGACUAAAAAUCAGUAUAUGCUAAUAGUUUUGUAAAACUAUUCAUAAAAAAGAAGAUGAGGUAUGAGACAACUCUCCACAAGAGACCAAAAUGACACAGAAAUUAACAACUAUAGGUCACUGUAUGGCCUUCAACAAUGCCCAUUGCAACAGCAAAGCCCAUACUGCAUUGUCAGCUAUAAAAGCCCCCGAAAUGACAAUGUAAAACAAUUCAAACGAGAAAACUAACGCCUUUAUCUAUGUUCAUAAAAUGAACGAAAAACAAAUAUUUAACAC